UACGUAGGGGGCAAGCGUUGUCCGGAUUUAUUGGGCGUAAAGAGCGUGUAGGCGGCCAGAUAGGUCCGUUGUGAAAACUCGAGGCUCAACCUCGAGACGCCGAUGGAAACCAUUUGGCUAGAGUCCGGAAGAGGAGAGUGGAAUUCCUGGUGUAGCGGUGAAAUGCGCAGAUAUCAGGAAGAACACCCGUGGCUAAGGCGGCUCUCUGGGCCUUACCUGACGCUGAGGAGCGAAAGCGUGGGGAGCGAACAGG
rnacentral:rRNA from 1 species